CAGUCGCCACGGGAAUACGGAGGGCGCGAGCGUUACCCGGAUUUACUGGGCGUAAAGGGCGUGUAGGCGGCCUGGGGCGUCCCAUGUGAAAGGCCACGGCUCAACCGCGGAGGAGCGUGGGAUACGCUCAGGCUAGAGGGUGGGAGAGGGUGGUGGAAUUCCCGGAGUAGCGGUGAAAUGCGCAGAUACCGGGAGGAACGCCGAUGGCGAAGGCAGCCACCUGGUCCACUUCUGACGCUGAGGCGCGAAAGCGUGGGGAGCAAACCGGAUUAGAUACCCCGGUAUCCCUGUCUCUUAUACA
rnacentral:rRNA from 1 species